ensembl:lncRNA
AUAGCGGCAUCGGAGCUGCUGUGGAGCCUAAAGCUGUUAAAGUCAGUAGGAAUCUUUUUCUCGACCUACGAGGAUGUGCGUUCAGAGCUUCCAGCUCCCAGCUCAGUCCUUAGUAGUCCUCCCAAGUCUCUAAUGCCAGGUGGAGCUGGGCUGGUUCCCACCAGCUGGAAACUGGCUGUAACGGGGAGCUGAUGGUGGAACAGAAGCAUUAACUAAAGAACGACCCGCAUAACUAUACCGUUUUGCGCUUAUCUCACUCCUUUGCCUACCGGGAGCAGUGCAGAGAUUAUCAAGAUCUGAGAGGAUACAAGGCAUCUCAGUGGAGAACAUCCCUACUGAGUUCAUGGAUCAGGACCUUCACAUGUCUUUCUUCUUUUUCCGCACGUAUGUGGCUUCAUCUACCAUAAUAGAAGUAGGGAACACGAAAGCCCAAUUCACUUGUCAAAUUCUGCUGGAGUUAUUUUUUCGUGCAAGAUGUACCCAUGGGAAAUUAGUAGAACUCAAACACAUCAACAACAAAUUAUAACAGUAUCUGGAGACAGCAAAAGGAAGAAAUUACUAUACUGAGAAUAUACUGAAAAUCCAGGCUGGUCUAAAUAAAAUGUAUAAUAAAGAUGAAAUUGUGUGUUACUUCUGUUUUUAUUAUAAGUAAUUUAAUGUUCUUAGAUUUGUUAAUGUUCUGACUCUCAGUAAUCAGUAGUUACGGUUAUAGAUAAAAACGAGGAGGGGAAGAAAACAGCAUGCUUGGUGUUUAAUUCAUAAGGCAGUUAGGAGGGACAUACAUAUCUUGACAGGUACAGUGCUAAUACAGUGCUACAUCUUGCUGUAAGCUGUAAUCACAAUGUAUUCGAGCAGAAUGAAAGAUUUAUUUUGAAGCAAGUUGUCUUUGUCUGUUCUCUACAACUUGUAGCGCAGAACUGUACAUACUGGGAUAAGGGGAGUGGGUGGCACUGUAGCUCUGCAGGGGAAGGAAGUGCCCUUUUGGUAUUUUAAGUUGCUCAGAGAUUGUCUUUGUAGCACUGUCAGUCAAAAACAACACUUCAGGGCUGAGGUAAUAAAGUGAUUUUCCUUAUUCAGCAAUUUUAGAGGCUCUACUAUGUUGGCUGCCCUCCGGGAAUAUAAAAUGUGUUACCAGUUAAAUGCAUGACAACAGAUAACUUACUUCAGCAGUAAUCUAGCUGCUCCCCUAUCACGUAGGCAAUUUAGCUGGAUAAGAACACAAGCCAUCCUGAACUGAGGGAGUACUGAGUGAAUUCUUGCUCCAAACACAGCAGUGAUAUUUGAAUACAGGUCUCCUGCCUUCCCACAGGGCUUUGAAGAGAAAUGGGACAAAUGGGGAAUGGAGAUUUCUACUAGAGCUUGGACAAGCUGUUACUGGGAGAGUUAUGGCAAUUCUGCCAGUGAAAAUAAAGCUGCCAUGAGGAGUUUAAGGGUCUGAAGAGGUGUGUGUGAGGACGUCAGUGGGAUAUUGGUGCUGGUUUGAAAGCAUGAAAGAUAAGAGGAUUUCCAGCUUUUGCCUCCUAUUAGCUGAAGAGUUCUGCUUUCCCAUCACUGCUUCUGCUGUUGGUUUAUGUGUGCGUGUGUGUUUUACUGUGACUCAACAAAUCCAUCUAUGCCAACAGUGUAUGAGGCAAAUAUGAACAUGCUUGCAUGCAUUGAGAAAUUCUUGUCUCAAAAGGCCCUUGAGGCAAGAAAGAGGCUCAGAAAGCCUGCAGAUCCCUAGCAGCUGGAAGGUUUUCUAGAGAGCAUUGUUCCAUGAUUAUUUUGUGCUUAGAGUCCUCCCUUAGCAUCUGCCAUUGGCCACUUCUUCAGCCAAGAUACAGGCAUGGAUGUAAUGUGAUCCAGCAUGCUCCAUAAAGGCCAUCGCCACAGAACUGAGCCUUGUUUUCCCUGAGUUCAUUUGUGAGAUACUGAACCUGUUAGAGUCAUACACUUGGCUAAGCAGGUCAGCUGAAAACUGUUUUAUGAGUCUAAGCUGAGAGCGUUCACAUAACUUAUGACUGAAGCAGCACGAGAACAAAUAGAGGAAGAUUAAAAUCUCUUAUGCAUGUUCACUGAUCUAAAAGCAGUAGGAUUUUUAACAAGUUAUUUCUUGUGUUAGUGACCUGGCUCUGACUCCUGCUCAGGGCCAUGGAGCUCAGAGUGACUGUUUCCAGGCUUUUCCAUUGGCUGUCCUCACCAAGAUCUCCCUGGCCUCACGUUCUGAGCUUGUGACAAAGCAGAACUUAACACAAAAGAUACAGAAAAGGGCAGUUAAUACCUCUUCCUCUGUACGUUCUCUACUGCUAGAAUGUACUGCUGAGAAAACAAUAAAAUACUAAUUAAAAAAAUAUAUAUAUGUCAAAAGUCUCCAAGCAGGCAUGGAAAAAAUAGGCACAGAUGUGCUGAUUCACCUUUUUGCUUGUGAAUAGAGGGAGUGAGUUUUGCCUCCUCUAACAAAGGUUGUUUCCAGGUCUGCCCAACGAUAAAACUGCUAUAUCAAAAUGUUUUUUCUUCUUGUUGUCUGUUUGUUUUCAUUGCUUGGGGAUAUGGCUGUGCUGGAUUGAGUGGCCAAAUAAACAGAAUUAAUAGGUUCACCGUGGGAUGAUUUUUUGACGAACUAGCCACGUG